rnacentral:rRNA from 1 species
AAAUUGAAGAGUUUGAUCAUGGCUCAGAUUGAACGCUGGCGGCAGGCCUAACACAUGCAAGUCGAACGGUAACAGGAAGAAGCUUGCUUCUUUGCUGACGAGUGGCGGACGGGUGAGUAAUGUCUGGGAAACUGCCUGAUGGAGGGGGAUAACUACUGGAAACGGUAGCUAAUACCGCAUAACGUCGCAAGACCAAAGAGGGGGACCUUCGGGCCUCUUGCCAUCGGAUGUGCCCAGAUGGGAUUAGCUUGUUGGUGGGGUAACGGCUCACCAAGGCGACGAUCCCUAGCUGGUCUGAGAGGAUGACCAGCCACACUGGAACUGAGACACGGUCCAGACUCCUACGGGAGGCAGCAGUGGGGAAUAUUGCACAAUGGGCGCAAGCCUGAUGCAGCCAUGCCGCGUGUAUGAAGAAGACCUUCGGGUUGUAAAGUACUUUCAGCGGGGAGGAAGGGAGUAAAGUUAAUACCUUU